UGCCCCGCGGGGAUCCUAAGGAUAAUGUUCUCACCGUCGGAGACCGUUCCCUCGCUUGAGAGACUGUUACAACGAUUAUGAAACGCACAUCCUCGCAGCGCGAUAAACCGCGGCUUUUCAAUAGGUUGUUCUAAAUAGACGACCGUCUCCAACGCCUUUUGCGACAUUUGUCAAACCCGUCUUCAGGUUAGAGACGAUAACACCGAUAACAACACCCACAGCGGUAACGACAGCAGCGACUGUAAAUCCGUAUUUCU